UGGGGUAUAUUGGACAAUGGGCGAAAGCCUGAUCCAGUAAUGUCGCGUGAGUGAUGAAGGCCUAUUGGGUUGUAAAGCUCUUUUGUCUGAGAAGAUAGUGACGGUAUCAGACGAAUAAGCACCGACUAACUACGUGCCAGCAGUCGCGGUAAUACGUAGGGUGCUAGUGUUGCUCGGAAUUACUAGGCGUAAAGCACAUGUAGGCGGACUUGUAAGCUAGUGGUGUAAUCCCUGAGCUCAACUCAGGAACUGCUUCUAGAACUGCGAGUCUCGAAUACGAUAGAGGACAGUGGAAUUCUUAGUGGAGGGGUUAAAUCCUUAGAUAUUAGGAAGAAUAUCGAAAGCGAAGGCAGCUGUCUGGGUCGUUAUUGACGCUGAGAUGUGACAGCGUGGGGAGCAAACA
rnacentral:rRNA from 1 species